AACGCGAAGAACCUUACCAAAUCUUGACAUCCUUCUGACCGACUCGUAAUGGAGUCUUUCCUACGGGACAGAAGAGACAUGUGGUGCAUGGUUGUCGUCAGCUCGUGUCGUGAGAUGUUGGGUUAAGUCCCGCAACGAGCGCAACCCUUAUCCUUAGUAGCCAGCAGUUCGGCUGGGCACUCUGGGGAGACUGCCAGGGAUAACCUGGAGGAAGGUGGGGAUGACGUCAAAUCAUCAUGCCCCUUAUGAUUUGGGCUACACACGUGCUACAAUGGCGUAAACAGAGGGAAGCGAAGCCGUGAGGUGGAGCAAAUCCCAAAAAUAACGUCUCAGUUCGGAUUGUAGUCUGCAACUCGACUACAUGAAGCUGGAAUCGCUAGUAAUCGCGAAUCAGAAUGUCGCGGUGAAUACGUUCCCGGGUCUUGUACACACCG
rnacentral:rRNA from 1 species